rnacentral:rRNA from 1 species
UACGGGGGGGGUAAGCGUUGUUCGGAAUUACUGGGCGUAAAGGGCUCGUAGGCGGCCAACUAAGUCAUACGUGAAAUCCCUCAGCUUAACUGGGGAACUGCGUGUGAUACUGGAUGGCUUGGAUUUGGGAGAGGGAUGCGGAAUUCCCGGGUGUAGCGGUGAAAUGCGCAGAUAUCGGGAAGAACACCCGUGGCGAAGGCGGCUCUCUGGGACGGUACUGACGGCUGAGACGCGAAAGCGUGGGGGAGCGAACAGG